UACGUAGGGACCAAGCGUUGUUCGGAUUUACUGGGCGUAAAGGGCGCGUAGGCGGCUUGUCAAGUCACUUGUGAAAUCUCUGGGCUUAACCCAGAACGGCCAAGUGAAACUGACAUGCUAGAGUGCAGAAGGGGCAAUCGGAAUUCUUGGUGUAGCGGUGAAAUGCGUAGAUAUCAAGAGGAACACCUGAGGUGAAGACGGGUUGCUGGGCUGAUACUGACGCUGAAGCGCGAAAGCUAGGGUAGCAAACGGG
rnacentral:rRNA from 1 species